rnacentral:rRNA from 1 species
GACGAACGCUGGCGGCGUGCUUAACACAUGCAAGUCGAACGAGUGGCGGACGGGUGAGUAAUGUCUGGGAAACUGCCUGAUGGAGGGGGAUAACUACUGGAAACGGUAGCUAAUACCGCAUACCAUCGGAUGUGCCCAGAUGGGAUUAGCUAGUGGGUGGGGUAACGGCUCACCUAGGCGACGAUCCCUAGCUGGGCUGAGAGGAUGACCAGCCAAACGGGAACUGAGACACGGUCCGGAGUCCUACGGGAGGCAGCAGUGGGGAAUAUGGCACAAUGGGCGCAAGCCGGAUGCAGCCAUGCCGCGUGUAUGAAGAGGGCCUUCGGGUUGUAAAGUACUUUCAGCGGGGAGGCGUUACCCGCAGAAGAAGCACCGGCUAACUCCGUGCCAGCAGCCGCGGUAAUAC